rnacentral:rRNA from 1 species
UACAGAGGUCUCAAGCGUUGUUCGGAUUCAUUGGGCGUAAAGGGUGUGUAGGUGGCGCUGUAAGUCGGGUGUGAAAUUUCGGAGCUUAACUCCGAAACUGCAUUCGAUACUGCGGUGCUUGAGGACUGGAGAGGAGACUGGAGUUCAUGGUGUAGCAGUGAAAUGCGUAGAGAUCAUGAGGAAGACCAGUGGCGAAGGCGGGUCUCUGGACAGUUCCUGACACUGAGACACGAAGGCCAGGGGAGCAAACGGG